ensembl:snoRNA SNORD46 Small nucleolar RNA SNORD46
UGUGUGAGUGAUGUAAACACGUCCUUAGGUUGGUCCUUUUUGGCCGUUUUGGUCAAAGCUCUGGACCUCCCAAUGUUAGGAUUAGUCAUAGUUACACUGACACACA